rnacentral:rRNA from 1 species
UUGGAGGGCAAGUCUGGUGCCAGCAGCCGCGGUAAUUCCAGCUCCAAUAGCGUAUAUUAAAGUUGUUGCAGUUAAAAAGCUCGUAGUUGAAUUUCGGGGUUAGUAGGUUGGUCAUGCCUCUGGUAUGUACUGGUCUCACUGAUUCCUCCUUCCUGAUGAGCCGUAAUGCCAUUAAUUUGGUGUUGCGGGGAGUUUGGACUGUUACUUUGAAAAAAUUAGAGUGUUUAAAGCAAGCUAACGCUUGAAUACAUUAGCAUGGAAUAAUGAAAUAGGACGUUCGAUCCUAUUUUGUUGGUUUCUAGGAUUGACGUAAUGAUUAAUAGGGAUAGUUGGGGGCAUUAGUAUUCAAUUGUCAGAGGUGAAAUUCUUGGAUUUAUUGAAGACUAACUACUGCGAAAGCAUUUGCCAAGGAUGUUUUCAUUAAUCAAGAACGAAAGUUAGGGGAUCGAAGACGAUCAGAUACCGUCGUAGUCUUAACCAUAAACUAUGCCGACUAGGGAUCGGAUGAUGUUAAUUUUUUAAUGACUCAUUCGGCGCCUUACGGGAAAC